AAUCUCAGCCACAGGCCGGCAGAGAGAGGACUCCAUUGCUUGGCUCCAGCGAUUGGGAUAAAAGAGAGGAAGACUCUGUCCUUCCUGGCCGACCACCCAGAAAGCCUGGAGAGGCAGGAAGGACCCCAGCCUGGGGGAGCUUGCAGCCUCCCUGUGGGCAGGUGGAAGGUCUCCUCUGUAACUGCCACCCUCCUGCAGCCUUGGACACUCCUUUUACCUCUGUCAUCCUGCUCCAGGGCAGUUUCCUCCUGUGUGAGAAAGCUGUGAGAUCGGUGAGCUCAGUCGGCUACAACAGUCCAGAUGAGAUGCCUCCCUCCCUGCUGUGCCAGCUGGCGAGGAGACUGCUCCCUCUUCAAGACUGGUCCUGUGCCUUGGAUUACGCGUGUGUGUGGCAGAGGGCUCCUUAGGGAUGGGGUCGCCUCUCACUUCUCUCUGUGCUCCCAGGAGUGCUCCGCCCAGGGCCCGGGACAGCGUCUGGUGGGAUGAGGUGCUCGGCCAUGGCUUAUUAAAGUUGGGCACUCACUGCC